GCCCGUUUGGCUCAGCGGUAGAGCGCCGCACUAGUAAAGCUAGAGAAUGCGGAGGCGACUGGUUCGACUCCAGUAAUGGGCA